rnacentral:tRNA from 1 species
GUUUAGGUAGCUCAGUAGGUUAGAGUAAAAGACUGAAAAUCUUUUGGUCGGGGGUUCGAGCCCCCCCCUAAACA